GAUGAACGCUAGCGGCAGGCUUAAUACAUGCAAGUCGAGGGGCAGCAGGUCUGUAGCAAUACAGAUGCUGGCGACCGGCAAACGGGUGCGGAACACGUACAGAACCUUCCUUCGAGCGGGGAAUAGCCCAGAGAAAUUUGGAUUAAUACCCCAUAGUAUAUUGAAAAGGCAUCUUUUUAAUAUUAAAGAUUUAUCACUUGAAGAUGGCUGUGCGGCUGAUUAGGUAGUUGGCGGGGUAACGGCCCACCAAGCCAUCGAUCAGUAACUGGUGUGAGAGCACGACCAGUCACACGGGCACUGAGACACGGGCCCGACUCCUACGGGAGGCAGCAGUAAGGAAUAUUGGUCAAUGGACGCAAGUCUGAACCAGCC
rnacentral:rRNA from 1 species